rnacentral:rRNA from 1 species
CCUACGGGAGGCUGCAGUGGGGAAUAUUGGACAAUGGGGGGAACCCUGAUCCAGCCAUGCCGCGUGUGUGAAGAAGGCCCUCGGGUUGUAAAGCACUUUCAGUGAGGAAGAACGCCUGGUGGUUAAUACCCAUCAGGAAAGACAUCACUCACAGAAGAAGCACCGGCUAACUCCGUGCCAGCAGCCGCGGUAAUACGGAGGGUGCGAGCGUUAAUCGGAAUUACUGGGCGUAAAGCGCGCGUAGGUGGCUUGAUAAGCCGGUUGUGAAAGCCACGGGCUCAACCUGGGAACGGCAUCCGGAACUGUCAAGCUAGAGUGCAGGAGAGGAAGGUAGAAUUCCCGGUGUAGCGGUGAAAUGCGUAGAGAUCGGGAGGAAUACCAGUGGCGAAGGCGGCCUUCUGGACUGACACUGACACUGAGGUGCGAAAGCGUGGGUAGCAAACAGGAUUAGAUACCCCAGUAGUC